GACGAACGCUGGCGGCGUGCUUAACACAUGCAAGUCGAACGGAAAGGCCCUGCUUUUGUGGGGUGCUCGAGUGGCGAACGGGUGAGUAACACGUGAGUAACCUGCCCUUGACUUUGGGAUAACUUCAGGAAACUGGGGCUAAUACCGGAUAGGAGCUCCUGCUGCAUGGUGGGGGUUGGAAAGUUUCGGCGGUUGGGGAUGGACUCGCGGCUUAUCAGCUUGUUGGUGGGGUAGUGGCUUACCAAGGCUUUGACGGGUAGCCGGCCUGAGAGGGUAACCGGCCACAUUGGGACUGAGAUACGGCCCAGACUCCUACGGGAGGCAGCAGUGGGGAAUAUUGCACAAUGGGCGGAAGCCUGAUGCAGCAACGCCGCGUGCGGGAUGACGGCCGUCGGGUUGUAAACCGCUUUCGCCUGUGACGAAGCGUGAGUGACGGUAAUGGGUAAAGAAGCACCGGCUAACUACGUG
rnacentral:rRNA from 1 species